CAUAAGGGGCAGUGCUAUAAACUCUUCAGCCUCGCGAGGAGCCGUUCUUUUGGGGAGUGAGUGUGUGCGUCUUCUUUUGUGCUCGUUUUGUAAAGACCGUUUCGUGAGUAGUGGUCGCGGGAACUCAAAGGUCCUCUCAACUUGCAUGCAGGUCCACCUUCCUCCAGAGUUGAAGUACUUUAGUCCUAAGGGUUUAAUCCUUUCCCAUUCAUCUUCUGACUCCCUAUUGGCAGAGUAUCCCGAGUCGGCUGCAGACCUUGACCGUAAACUAGCUGCAUCUAGAAACCCAACGAGUAGGAGUGUUGUCUGGUAAGAUGGGCAUCUGUUUGUUAGCAAUAAAGCUGUGUAUCUCAGUUUCUUAGCAAUAAAGUGAAAGUGCAACCUUA